GAUGAGCGCUGGCGGCGUGCUUAACACAUGCAAGUCGAGCGAGUGAGUUCUUCGGAACGAUCUAGCGGCGGACGGGUGAGUAACACGUGGGCAACCUGCCUCAUAGAGGGGAAUAGCCUCCCGAAAGGGAGAUUAAUACCGCAUAAAAUUAUCGAGUGGCAUCACAUGAUAAUCAAAGGAGUAAUCCGCUAUGAGAUGGGCCCGCGGCGCGUUAGCUAGUUGGUGAGGUAACGGCUCACCAAGGCGACGAUGCGUAGCCGACCUGAGAGGGUGAUCGGCCACAUUGGGACUGAGACACGGCCCAGACUCCUACGGGAGGCAGCAGUGGGGAAUAUUGCACAAUGGGGGAAACCCUGAUGGAGCGAUGCCGCGUGCAGGAAGACGCUUUUCGGAGUGUAAACUGCUUUUAAUAGGGAAGAUUAUGACGGUACCUAUAGAAUAAGGACCGGCUAACUACGUGCCAGCAGCCGCAGUAA
rnacentral:rRNA from 1 species